rnacentral:rRNA from 1 species
UACAGAGGGUGCUAGCGUUGUUCGGAAUCAUUGGGCGUAAAGGGCGUGUAGGCGGUUUGUUAAGUCAUGUGUGAAAUCCCUCGGCUCAACCGGGGAACGACGCAUGAAACUGGCAGCUAGAGUACCAAAGAGGGGGGUGGAAUUCCCGGUGUAGCGGUGAAAUGCGUAGAUAUCGGGGAGGAACACCUGUGGCGAAAGGCGGCCCCCUGGUUGGAUACUGACGCUGAGACGCGAAAGCGUG